AUUCACUACUUCAUAAAAGGGACAUUCCAGUCACCAUAACUUCAUAUAAAUUUAAUUGCUAUGGUGCCAGGAGGCCCCCAGGUGCACUCUUACCUUAAGGAGCUAAACCGUUCUCUAAUAGUUUAACCAGAAAAGUUGUCUUCAUCACCAAUCUCAAGGUCCCCCAGGUGGUGUACAGUUUCUGAAUUUGUGUUACAAGAACCGUGGCAGUCUCUCAGAUGUAGCUCCCCAGCUACUGAUCGGCUUAGUGUCAGCCAAUCAGUGGGGGCACCCAUGUUUCCUGUAACUCAGAUUCAGAAGCUGGAUGCCGCUUUGGGGAUCUUGAUAUUGGGGCAGGAGGAAUCCUUUUGGGGUUAAACAGUUUGCGGUCACUGAAGGUACACAUAGUUAAGAAUGAACCACUGCUGCAACAAGUGCCAUUCUUGGUGGUGCCGUCCUAGCAACCCCAUAAGUGUUAUUUUAAUUAAAAUAGUUAUACUGUAAGAAAUCAUCAAAAAAAAAAUCAAUCAUUUUUUUUUUUUUUCCAUUAUUUUGUGUCCGGAACAACGUUCAGGCCACCACCAUCUUUCUGUGGGACAUGUCAUCUGCCCAUACUCGAUAGCGCGAUUCCCGUACAUGCCCAGUUAAACACUUGGGCAUGCGAACGGGAAUUUCAUCUAUUCAUUCGUCAUAACAAACAAUAUCGGUGUUUGUUCGUUCAGUUUAUUACAAAGAGGGAACUACCGGCGCGCAGUUCCCUUCUUGUAAAAUGUAAAGAUAGAAGCGGCAGGGAACAGCUCCCCGCCACUUCCUAAUCCCACCAUGUCCUCCCUCACUCUAUGGAGGCCCUAUUGUCCUCUCCCCACCCCUGAGUGGCAGGUGGGGAUAUAAGCCUUAUCCCCUAGUCACCUUGGAAGGGGGCCAUUUUCAUUUAGGGCCCCCACCCACCGCUAAGGGUGCGGGCCGGGGGACGACGACAAUAUGUACUCCUCCCUCCCC